GCUAAUACCGCAUGAUACCUGAGGGGUCAAAGGCGAAAGUCGCCUGAGGAGGAGCCUGCGUCUGAUUAGGUAGUUGGUGGGGUAAAGGCCUACCAAGCCUGCGAUCAGUAGCUGGUCUGAGAGGAUGAUCAGCCACACUGGGACUGAGACACGGCCCAGACUCCUACGGGAGGCAGCAGUGGGGAAUAUUGGACAAUGGGCGCAAGCCUGAUCCAGCAAUGCCGCGUGGAUGAAGAAGGUCUUCGGAUUGUAAAGUCCUUUUGGCGGGGACGAUGAUGACGGUACCCGCAGAAUAAGCUCCGGCUAACUUCGUG
rnacentral:rRNA from 1 species